GACGAACGCUGGCGGCGUGCCUAAUACAUGCAAGUUGAGCGCUGAAGGUUGGUACUUGUACCCACUGGAUGAGCAGCGAACGGGUGAGUAACGCGUGGGGAAUCUGCCUUUGAGCGGGGGACAACAUUUGGAAACGAAUGCUAAUACCGCAUAAAAACUUUAAACACAAGUUUUAAGUUUGAAAGAUGCAAUUGCCUCACUCAAAGAUGAUCCCGCGUUGUAUUAGCUAGUUGGUGAGGUAAAGGCUCACCAAGGCGAUGAUACAUAGCCGACCUGAGAGGGUGAUCGGCCACAUUGGGACUGAGACACGGCCCAAACUCCUACGGGAGGCAGCAGUAGGGAAUCUUCGGCAAUGGAAGAAAGUCUGACCGAGCAACGCCGCGUGAGUGAAGAAGGUUUUCGGAUCGUAAAACUCUGUUGGUAGAGAAGAACGUUGGUGAGAGUGGAAAGCUCAUCAAGUGACGGUAACUACCCAGAAAGGGACGGCUAACUACGUG
rnacentral:rRNA from 1 species